ensembl:snoRNA
CCCUACCCGUGAUGUCCAGCACUGGUUUCUGACUGCCCUGAGGACAUGGUGCCCCGGGACCUUUGACACCCAGGGGUCUGAGGGGC